AAUACACUGGGGAAUUGCUCUUGCAAGCUAUAUUUGACACAUGGAUUGCUUUCAUCUUGUUAUUUUGUUUCUGUACAAAUAAUAUUUAUCCCUCAGGACAAGAAAUCAUCCAUGUGGAAUAAAGAACCCCUUCUCAAGGUUUGAGCUUUGCUGGCUAAAGGUGGAGAUGGUGGUGGGGGUUUCAAAGGCUAUUUGAGAUAUACUCAACAUUUAUGGGCCUAUUUGUUUCCUGUAAAAAAUACACUCACAUUUGGUGAACAGAGCUCUGAAACAGAAGGAACAGAACCUGGAAUCCUUCUGGUGACACCUGGAGCUACAAGAACACCUGUGAUGUAGUUCUAACGAUCCUCUGGACUCCAAUUUCAAUGCCUUCUCCCCUUCCCCAGUGCCUGAUAACCUUGCCUGAAACAGAGCAAUUGCCUGCCAUGACAUGGACCCUUGCUGCAUCUUUCUGGAGAUGAUGGAAUAGACAAUUUCCAUUUCCAAAUUAAGAUACCCAAAUUAAGCAUUCCUUAAGAUAUGUGAUCCUCACAUUUUGUCUGUCACCUUGACUAUUUGUUUGAACCAUAUUUUAAGCACUCUGAAAUCCUACAAUUUAAGGAGAACAAUGAAUUGAAAGCAUCUGCAAAGCAAAGACUGUUCUAAACAUAGCAAUUAUUCCAUUCCUUCUUCUUUCCUCUUCCCUUGUUGUAUAAAAGACCUGAUUUGGUUUUUUCCCCUACAAAUAUGCAUUUCCAGGUUUUGAAUUACUUAAAGUGAGAUAUACCUUAUACUAAAUUGCAUUAAAGAGAGUAUAGCUUAGAAUAUGUGAUUAAGCUUCAUGUUCCUUGUGGCUUUUCCUGUUUUGUGCCAUUCACUCAUUAGGAUAAUGAGGAUUUCAGCAGUUUCAUGGGAAAAACUUUGAGUUCCUCUAGUGAAGGGAAUCAUAUAAACAUAAAGUACUCUUCAGCACAGCAAAUGUAAUAUUCUACACUAACUUCUCUCUGGCUGUCAUUAUCUUAAAAAAAA
rnacentral:lncRNA from 1 species